GCCAGGUGGGCUUAGAGCCACUGCGUGGUGCACGAGGGUCCUCCAGUUCAUGGGUGCGGUUCCCCCUGUGCCCACAACGUGGCAGCACAGUCUGCUUCAGAGUGAGGCAGGGGACAGCCAUCCCUUGGUUUGGAGGGAACUGAGGCCCCAGAGGCAAGAACUUAGAUUUUCCACUGAGUCUGCCUUGCCCAGCCAGGGCACCCAGGGUUAGUGGGCGUGCGGAAGGGCCCUAACUUGUCAGGGCAGUCUCUCUGUAAGUCUGCAUGUGCCGUGCCUAGGUGACUGCUGCUGGAAACCACCUUCUCUGGCCUCCACCCAGUCUGCCUCUGGGCUCAGCAGACCCUGGCUUCUCUUAGCACAGCGCAGAGUGUACUGUGUACUAUGUGAUCCCAGUGCUUCUACUCUUGGCUGAGAGACUAGGACUGAACUCUAAUGCUCUCCUAGACUCCUAUUAUGAGUGAGGCCCUUUUACGAAUUGUCUCAUUUAAUUCUCAUAACCUCUAACACCUAACUUGGGGCCUGGAUGCAAAUCCUAACUUUGCCAUGUACUAGCUGUGUGACUUUGAGCAAAUUUCUUCACCUCUCUGACUGGCUUGGUUUUUUUCUUUGUAAAGUGGUCACAGGAUUAAGGGAAUGGCUUUAAUAUGCCUGGCACAGACUUAAGUGCUCAGUGUUAAUAAAUGGCAGUGAUGAUACUUGCCCCCAUUUUGUAGAUGAGUAAACUGAAGCCCAGAAAGAUGAAGUAGCAGAGGCAGAAUUAGAACCUGGAUCUGGAGAGAGGAAUGACAUACAGAACCUCGCCUGCAAGUAGGCCUGCAACUGUCCACCUGCCUCAGCCCUGGUGUCUCAGAUGUGACAUACUGCGGGGGCCAGGUGUACAGUCCUGAAUCCCCAGGCCUGUGGCCCAGCAUAAGCCAAGAAGCAGCACAGCUCAGGAUCCAGGCUCAGCGAGUGUCAGGAGUGUCCUGCACUUGGAAGAGUGCUAGGCUGGAGGUUCAGAGACCUGUAUUAUCUAUCCUCCCUUGUAAGAUGAGGACUGCCUGGGGCUGCCUGUUUGGCCUUGCUUUCACUGAGGCCCAGCACCUGGUCACCCUCUGUGGACUGAGGGUCCCAGGCCCAUUGCCGCCUCCUAUCUGGGCCGUAAAGAAGCCCUUAAAGCCAGCUUUAUUCUGCAUACCACGCAGGAGGAAGUGCUCGCUCCUUCCCCCAGGCAGCUCCCCACUUGGCUUUCUCUCUCACCUUCUGCCCCAGGCCCUGCCUACCCCUACCCCCAGCCCAGACUCCACUCCAGGGAUCCUCAGGCCUGCUAGGCUCCCUAGGCUCCCGUUUGGGAGACAGAGAAGGGUAAAGGCCUUGGCUGGGAUCCAGGCCACCUCCUGGAAGGCAAGGGCCCACCUCUCAGCUAGGCUCUCCUGGUUUCCUCCCACUCUCUUGCUGCUCCUGCUUUACCUGUUUGGGGCUUUUCCAUCACUGCCCCCUUCCUUCACAGCUGGCCUUGGGCAAGUGACUUCUCUACCCUUGGCAUCUGUUUACUGUCUAAAGUGGGACCAUCCUUGUACCCACCUUGUACAUCACUUCAAGGACUCAGGCAGACACAGCAGGUACAGCUUUACUGGGGUGCCAGCCUGGUUCAGGGACACCCCUACCUCCACCUGCCUCUCCAUAUCCUAUCAACCACCAUUUUCUGUGGACUGCUUAACAGUGUGGAUUAGUUUUGUGUUUUAUAUUUUCAAUGAAAUAUUUCCAACAUAACUGAAAAGUCAGAAGCCAAAAAGCACUCACCACCCACACAUUAUUUUGUUCUAUUUGCUUCCAAUCUUUUAAAACAUAUAUAAACAUAAUAAAUAUAUGUAUUUUAAACA